AGAGUUUGAUCCUGGCUCAGGAUGAACGCUAGCGGCAGGCUUAACACAUGCAAGUCGAGGGGUAUAGUUCUUCGGAACUAGAGACCGGCGCACGGGUGCGUAACGCGUAUGCAAUCUACCUUUUGCAGAGGGAUAGCCCAGAGAAAUUUGGAUUAAUACCUCAUAGUAUGUGAGAAUGGCAUCAUUUUCACAUUAAAGUCACAACGGCAAAAGAUGAGCAUGCGUCCCAUUAGCUAGUUGGUAAGGUAACGGCUUACCAAGGCAACGAUGGGUAGGGGUCCUGAGAGGGAGAUCCCCCACACUGGUACUGAGACACGGACCAGACUCCUACGGGAGGCAGCAGUGAGGAAUAUUGGACAAUGGGCGCAAGCCUGAUCCAGCCAUGCCGCGUGCAGGAUGACGGUCCUAUGGAUUGUAAACUGCUUUUGUACAGGAAGAAACACUGGUUCGUGAACCAGCUUGACGGUACUGUAAGAAUAAGGAUCGGCUAACUCCGUGCCAGCAGCCGCGGUAAUACGGAGGAUCCAAGCGUUAUCCGGAAUCAUUGGGUUUAAAGGGUCCGUAGGCGGUUUAGUAAGUCAGUGGUGAAAGCCCAUCGCUCAACGGUGGAACGGCCAUUGAUACUGCUAGACUUGAAUUAUUAGGAAGUAACUAGAAUAUGUAGUGUAGCGGUGAAAUGCGUAG
rnacentral:rRNA from 1 species